rnacentral:rRNA from 1 species
UACGUAGGUGGCAAGCGUUGUCCGGAUUUAUUGGGCGUAAAGGGCGCGCAGGCGGCUGCUCAAGUCAGGCGUGAAAGGCCUGGGCUCAACCCGGGAAUUGCGCUUGAGACUGGGCUGGCUUGAGUGUGGGAGAGGAUGGUGGAAUUCCCAGUGUAGAGGUGAAAUUCGUAGAUAUUGGGAAGAACACCGGUGGCGAAGGCGGCAAUCUGGAACGCAACUGACGCUGAGGCGCGAAAGCGUGGGGAGCAAACAGG